rnacentral:rRNA from 1 species
UACGUAGGCAGCGAGCGUUGUUCGGAGUUACUGGGCUUAAAGGGCGCGUAGGCGGUCGACCAAGUCUGGGGUGAAAUCUUUCGGCUCAACCGGAAAAGUGCCCCCGAUACUGGCCGGCUAGAGGGAGAUAGGGGCAUGCGGAACUUCCGGUGGAGCGGUGAAAUGCGUAGAUAUCGGAAGGAACGCCGGUGGCGAAAGCGGCGUGCUGGAUCUCUUCUGACGCUGAGGCGCGAAAGCCAGGGGAGCAAAGCGGG